GGGGGAAAAAUGCAGCCUUCCUCUGUGCAGCUAUGCAGUGAUGCCCACUGUCAGUGCUGGCCAGUCUGCUCAGAGCUGGUCCAAUGGCUGUUGAAGUACAGCCGGGACAGCUGGAAACUGGACUACGAGUUGCACAAGGUGAUGGAAUAGGCAAACAGAGCUCCUGUAAGGCAUGGUCGUAUUUUGUGCUGCUUUGGAAAGCUGAAGCUGGUUGUGGGCUCUCAUCCUGGAAGGAAGGGCUGCUGAUACGGGAGCUGUUCUGGGGUGCAGAGGGAUGGAUAAGGAAGAGAAAUGCAGCAGCACUCAGAAACUGCUGAUUACAUCUGAGGUAGAGCUUCACUUCCCAGUCCUCCAAAAGAAUGGCUUCUGUCCUCAGGCAAAAUCCCAUGGGAAGCGAUUCCGAGGAGAGGGGCUUAAAUAACAGACAACAGGAGCACAAGCGCUGGCCAUCCCAGAGCAAAGCGUGGGCUGGGAGUGCCAAAGGAGCCAAAGAGAAGUUCUUCAUUGGCUUCAGAUACAAGACAGAGCAUACAGAGAGUGACAACUGCUGCGGUACUCGGGGCUGCUGUGAAGGAGUCGUAUGGAAAGGGAAGGACCGCUUCACAGAAGGAGGGUGUAAUGAGGAAUAUCGAAGGUAGAAGGAACUUUUGCAGGUGCAAAGUUUCUCACUGAAUGGGAGAGUAUUUGUGGCAGGAACCAAG
ensembl:lncRNA